rnacentral:misc_RNA from 1 species
AAACAGGUCGCUUUUGAAAUCCUAAGAACCCUCUAACUCGAGGGGCGUAAACCUUGGCCAAAGCAGUGUCACGCGACCAUUUUGUUCUAGAUUACAAACAAAUAAGCUUGAAGUAAUAUUUUGUUCAGUGUGUAUCAAACACAUACAGACCAGUCACUAAAAUGUCAUGCCAUAUAAAAGUGCAAGUUCAAAGGAAUGUGUGUGUAUUUGUCCCAAACUAUUUAGCACUACAAACUCAAAACAUGGGCAUAUUCAAGUGGCACUAGGUAUAUUUUUGUCAUACAUCUAUGUUCAUUUGUCACUUUUAAAUCUUCUGUCAUGAAACAAAGCGAGAAGAGAGUGGUCUUCAACUUUUCGAUCUUGCAAUGUUAACUUUCCUUUCUCCAUCUCCUUGAAGCAGUAAGCGGGGGCUUGCCACUUAGAAUCCUCCAGCACUUUCCCCACCUCAAAAGUUAUAAUAUGUUCGAUCAAUCCAUCAUAAAACUGCCAAUAAACAGGUAUCUGGGUAGCAACAUCUUCAUAAUAGUGUAGGAAAUCAAUCUUCUCCCAAACAUUACAGAGAAAUCCAUCCUUAUACCUCUGGCCCAAAUAAUUCGCACCUUCAAGCCAAUUAGGUCUCAAAAUCCCCACAGGGAAAUGCUUGACCGUGCAUUCCUGGGUAGAAUCCAAAGUGAAGUAAAAUGAAGUGCCGUUCUGCCAUUCAACGUCGUACAAUUUUUUCCCCAAUUGGUAUUGGUUUAUGUGCAAGUACCUUUUGUUAGGCCAAUCGUACCAGAGAUCCACUUUCCUGAGACCUCCUGUGUAGUUCAUGAUGGUAGUUGCAUGGAACUGGUGCGGCCAUGGUGAUGGAAUUGGAUCUGUUGUAUCUAAUUUCAAUGCUAUUGAAGGAACCCAGAAAGGGGAUAAAGUGAACAGGAAGA